AGGAGCCGCGCAGGCCGGAAAAAUGGCGCUUCCCAGUCCUGGAGAGCCGAAGGCCCCGGCGGCGACAAGCGCAGUCAAGUCAGACGGGGAGAUGGUGCUGCCGGGCUUCCCGGACGCAGACAGCUUCGUGAAGUUUGCUCUUGGGUCAGUGGUGGCAGUCACCAAAGCAUCUGGGGGCCUGCCACAGUUUGGUGACGAGUAUGAUUUUUACCGAAGUUUUCCUGGCUUUCAGGCAUUUUGUGAAACACAGGGAGAUAGACUGCUUCAGUGCAUGAGCAGGGUAAUGCAGUACCAUGGGUGUCGAAGCAACAUUAAGGAUCGAAGUAAAGUGACAGAGUUGGAGGACAAGUUUGACUUACUAGUUGAUACCAAUGAUGUUAUUCUGGAAAGAGUGGGUAUUUUACUGGAUGAAGCAUCAGGUGUGCAUAAGAGUCAACAGCCUGUCCUCCCUGCAGGAUUGCAGGUCCCCAAAACAAUAGUGUCCAGCUGGAACCGUAAGGCAGGAGAAUAUAGCAAAAAAACAAAAUCUGAAACCUUCCGGCUGCUUCAUGCAAAAAACAUCAUCCGACCUCAGCUUAAAUUCAAAGAGAAGAUUGACAAUUCCAACACCCCGUUUCUUCCUAAAAUCUUCAUCAAGCCCAAUGCUCAGAAACCCCUCCCUCAGGCGCUCUCUAAAGAAAGGCGGGAGCGCCCGCAGGCUCGGCCCGAGGACUUGGACGUCCCCCCUGCCCUGGCGGAUUUCAUCCAUCAGCAGAGAACCCAGCAGGUGGAGCAGGACAUGUUUGCACAUCCUUAUCAAUAUGAACUAGAUCACUUCACUCCACCAGAUUCAGUCCUUCAAAAGCCACAACCCCAGUUAUACAGACCUGUGGCAGAAACACCCUGCCAUUUUGUAUCCUCCCUGGAUGAACUAGUGGAACUGAACGAAAAGCUCUUGAAUUGUCAAGAAUUUGCUGUAGACUUGGAGCAUCACUCUUACAGGAGCUUCCUAGGGCUGACCUGCCUGAUGCAGAUUUCCACCCGAAGAGAAGACUUCAUUGUUGACACCCUGGAGCUUCGGAGUGACAUGUACAUUCUCAACGAGAGCUUCACAGACCCAGCUAUUGUUAAGGUCUUCCAUGGUGCUGAUUCAGACAUCGAAUGGCUACAGAAAGACUUUGGGCUCUAUGUAGUGAACAUGUUUGAUACCCAUCAGGCAGCACGCCUUCUUAACCUGGGCAGGCACUCACUUGAUCAUCUGCUGAAACGCUACUGCAGUGUGGAAUCAAAUAAGCAGUAUCAGCUGGCUGAUUGGAGAAUACGACCUCUGCCUGAGGAGAUGCUCAACUACGCCCGCGAUGACACCCAUUACCUGCUUUACAUUUAUGAUAAGAUGAGGCUGGAGCUGUGGGAGCGAGGCAACGACCAGCCUGUCCAGUUGCAGGUGGUGUGGCAGCGGAGCAGGGAUGUCUGCCUCAAGAAAUUCAUCAAACCUAUCUUCACGGAUGAGUCCUACCUUGAACUGUAUAGGAAGCAGAAGAAACAUCUCAACACACAGCAGUUGACAGCCUUUCAGCUGCUGUUUGCCUGGAGGGAUAAAACAGCUCGUAGGGAAGAUGAAAGUUAUGGAUAUGUACUGCCAAACCACAUGAUGCUAAAGAUAGCUGAAGAACUGCCUAAGGAGCCUCAGGGCAUCAUAGCUUGCUGUAACCCUGUACCACCUCUUGUACGGCAGCAGAUCAAUGAAAUGCAUCUUCUAAUCCAACAGGCCCGAGAAAUGCCUCUGCUCAAGUCUGAAGUUGCAGCUGGAGUGAAGAAGAGUGGACCACUGCCCAAUCCGGAGAGAUUGGAGAAUGUUCUCUUUGGACCUCACGACUGCUCCCACGCCCCAUCAGAUGGCUAUACUGUCAUCCCAACCAAUGGGCCUAUGCCAGUGCAGAAACAGGCAAGCCUCUUCCCUGACCAAAAAGAAGAGGAGGCCCUGCUGGAUACCAAAUGCCUGGUUGCUACUGCAGUCAUCACAUUAUUUAAUGAACCUAGUGCUGAAGAAAAUGGAAAGGGUCCAUUAACGGUUGCACAGAAAAAAGCCCAGAACAUAAUGGAGUCCUUCGAAAAUCCAUUUAGAAUGUUUCUGCCUUCGCUAGAACACCACGCUCACAUUUCUCAGGCAGCAAAGUUUGAUCCAUCGUCAAAAAUCUAUGAAAUCAGCAACCGUUGGAAGCUGGCAAGCCAGAUACAGGUACAAAAAGAGUCUAAAGAAACUGCCAAGGAGGAGGCAGCUGAGCAAACAGCUGCCCAGGACCAGGCGAAGGAAGAGUACAGAGCAGCAGCGGAACAGGCCGUGUCUGUCCGACAGCAGGCUGCCCUAGAAAACGCUGCCAAGAAGAGAGAACGAACAAGUGACUCAAGGACCACAGAACAGAAACAAGAGAAGAAACGACUCAAAAUUGCCAAGAAACCAAAAGACCCAGAUCCACCAGAAAAAGACUUUACCCCUUAUGACUACAGCCAGUCGGAUUUCAAGGCUUUUGCUGGAAACAGCAAAUCCAAACCUUCUUCCCAGUUUGAUCCAAGUAAGCAGACCCAGUCUGGCAAGAAAUGCAUUGCGGCCAAAAAGCUUAAACAGUCAAUGGGAAACAAAAGCAUGUCGUUCCCAGCCGGAAAGUCAGACAGAGGUUUCAGGCACAACUGGCCAAAGAGAUAGUGUUAGAAGAGAGCCUUGGGAUCCGUCGGUGGACUGGACGCACCACAUGCCGCUCUGGCAGGAGAGGACAGAUGUCAUCCUGUUCAGAUCACCAUCUUCGGCUGUCUGUGGGUAAGACAGAAGGAUACGGUGAUUUCUGGAGAAAUCCAGAACCACCUCCGAGGAGAAAUGCUGGAGAAUCUCCUGACUCGGAGAAGGGCGGGGUCCGCAAGGCUCGGAGCUUGAUGCGUCAGCUGCACUGUAAGAGGGCUCUCAGCACUUUCCUCCCUCCACCUGCCUCCACGUGAUGUGAGUGCACCGGAUGUAAAAUACCGUGGGGAGAGGAGCUGGUGGGGUGCUUGAGAGCCAGCGCGGCUUCUGGCACCCGUGGGCUCUUCUCUGUCCCUUUCUCUCUGUUUUUUUUUUGUUUUUUAAAGAUUUUA